rnacentral:rRNA from 1 species
GACGUAGGAGGCGAGCGUUGUCCGGAGUUAUUGGGCGUAAAGAGCUCGUAGGCGGUGUGUCGCGUCGGCCGUGAAAACCUGCAGCUUAACUGUGGGCUUGCGGUCGAUACGGGCAUCACUGGAGUUCGGCAGGGGAGACUGGAAUUCCUGGUGUAGCGGUGAAAUGCGCAGAUAUCAGGAGGAACACCAACAGCGAAGGCAGCACUCUGGGCCGGUACUGACGCUGAGGAGCGAAAGCAUGGGGAGCGAACCGG